rnacentral:snRNA from 1 species
AGCUUUGCGCAGUGGCAGUAUCGUAGCCAAUGAGGUUUAUCCAAGGCGCAAUUAUUGGUCAUUGAAAACCUUUCCCAAAAACUGGGGCAAAACAUUUCUUGAACCUUAAUAUUUUUUUGUCACUAUUAGCCAUCAGACUGUAUUUUUUGAUUCAGCGUUUCUGGAAAAUCUUGUUGAU